CAUGCUACGUAUGCACGAACAAUUGUUCAGCGCUACUUAUAAGUUUGGCUAAUAUAUAUCUCCCAUUGGAAAUUAGUACAUGCAAUAUCCAAACCCCAUAAAUAAAUUUUCAUUUCCUUUGAAUCCAAUCCCUUUCUCAUAGUACUGAUCACAACCAGUAUAUAGUCUUAAACUGGUACUGUCCUGUCCAUCUGAAAUUCACCUUUUGCAAAGAAAGGAAAAAUUAUUGGUACUUCCAUGACGGCCAUUUCGACCGCUUGACACUCUCGCAUCUCUUCUCACUAUGACACCCAUUUGCUGUAAAAUAUGGUACAGGUUACUCGUCUGCGUCGCAGCGGCGACAUCACCCUAUGCUUGCUCAAGAAAAGCCAUUGAAAGGGAGGCAGUGCAAAUUUAACUUUGGAUUACCAGAGGGUACCAAAUGCGGGUCCAAAGGGAACCAGUCGUGCAAAGAUCGCUACAAUCGUCCCCCAUUGCACGUUCAGGAAUGUGAAUGUCAAUCACAUCUACCUCCUGUACCUGGCAAUUACUGCGCAUGCCGUUUUUCUUGUUAAUAGUAAUUUCAAUCAAAAUUCAAUAAAAUGAUGUUUUUCCAAAAACAUCUGUCUUGUGAUUCUUUUGGAUGAUGUGUGACGAAAUACUAUUAUUUGUUGGGCUGUUUUGGAUAAUUCAAAAUGGCCUAACGAACAAGCAUCGAUCGUAGGACUUCCUUAGGUAUUUCGUUACACAUGACACCCGCCAAAAAAUACAAAAAAGAUAGUAGAUGUUUAUAUCUAUGUCGCUGCUGUUUAAUAUUGGGGCGGAGGAGGUGUACGUUUGUUUACGCCGACAAGUAAAUGAUUGUUAACUUGAAA